GAGUCCUCUGGUUGGUACUUUGAGCUGGUUUGCUCAGCCUGUCUUGCAUGGUCACAGUGGUGUGGGCUCAGGACGCCUGGCGUUGAGGCAGUUCAGAAACUGAACAUUCAGGAGAGAAGGCGCCACACUUCAGGAACUCUCGGGUCAUCAUCAUGGCAGCCACUUCCCACUGAUUUGUGUCAUCUUCUUCUGUGCGCUCAUAUUUCCUCAUGUUGACAGCUGACAACAGGAAGCCUGAGGUCUUCAAAUCUACAGACUAAAGUCUCUGGUCCCCAGCAAUGAUGGAAUACCAAGUGUGUUAGUACUUUUCUCAUGAAAGGACAAAAUGCUUGACAAGGACAACUGAAACAAGAGAAGAUUGAGCUCAAGGUUUUAGAGCAGUCUUCAUUGGUUUUGAAGGAAGCACCUGAGCAGAUAUGGCUCCAAUCUGUAGUAGCAGGAGCACAUGGAGGCUUGUUCACACUGUAGCUGGCAGGAAGGAAAGAAUUGUU